CAACCUGUGGCACUCAAACUGCGUGGGCACUUUUUUGUGCUCUGAAGAAAAGUGCCGCCAGGUUUUGAGUGUUACCGGUUG
rnacentral:pre_miRNA from 1 species